CCGAGUUGUAAUUUGUAGAGGAUGUUUUGGGUACCGCCCCGGUUUAAAUUUCUUGGAACAGAAUGUCGGAGAGGGUGAGAAUCCCGUCUCGGACCGGCGGUAGGGCCUAUGUAAAACUCCUUCGAC
rnacentral:rRNA from 1 species